UACGUAGGGGGCAAGCGUUGUCCGGAUUUAUUGGGCGUAAAGAGCUCGUAGGUGGUUCGGUAAGUCGGAUGUGAAAUCUCCAGGCUCAACCUGGAGGGGUCAUUCGAUACUGCCGUGACUAGAGGUCGGUAGGGGAGACUGGAAUUCCUGGUGUAGCGGUGAAAUGCGCAGAUAUCAGGAGGAACACCGGUGGCGAAGGCGGGUCUCUGGGCCGAAACUGACGCUGAGGAGCGAAAGCGUGGGGAGCAAACAGG
rnacentral:rRNA from 1 species